GGGCACGUGGUUGAUUUCACAGCCAACUGUAUGACAAGCUGUGCUAAAAUUGAUUUGAUUUUCAAAGAAGGAUCAUGGUUUCUUGCAGUACUCAUCCUACUAGUAGCUGCGCUCACUUUUCUGCUUUUCAAAUUUCGAAA